AUCUACCUGCGGAGAGCGUGAUGGUGUCAACUAAAUUUGAACCAACGCUUAUUUGUUAGGGAGUCCGAUUGACUGCGCCGUGUGUGGGCCUUACCCCUCGGGGUUCCUAGGUCCCCUAAAGCGUGGAUAGGAUGCCCACCUGUGUAAACAGGUUCAAAUAGGUGAGCGCCACACGCCUCUCGCGGGCCCCAG
rnacentral:other from 1 species